ACUCAAAUGAAUUGACGGGGACUCGCACAAGCGGUGGAUCAUGUGGUUUAAUUCGAUGGUACACGAGGAACCUUACCAGGGCUUGACAUUCUAUUGAAUGGAGUUGGAAACGAUUUCGGCCUAAGAUUUAUCUUUGGCAAUAGGACAGGUGCUGCACGGUCGUCGUCAGCUCGUGGCGUGAGCUGUUCCCUUAAGUGGGGUAACGAGCGCAACCCUCGUUCUGUGUUACAAGUGUCACAGAAGACUGUCCGCUUUAAGCGGAAGGAAGGUGGGGAUGACGUCAGAUCAGCGUGGCCCUUUGAUGCCCUGGGCUACACACAUGAUACAAUGGUCAAGACAAAGGGUUGCCAAGCCGUAAGGCGGAGCUAAUCUCAAAAACUUGGCCUCAGUUCGGAUUGAGGGCUGAAACUCGCCCUCAUGAAGUUGGAAUCGCUAGUAAUCGUGGAUCAGAUAUGCCACGGUGAAUACGUUCUCGAGUCCUGUACACACCGCCCGU
rnacentral:rRNA from 1 species